CAGUCGCCGCGGGAAUACGUAGGUCCCGAGCGUUGUCCGGAUUUAUUGGGCGUAAAGCGAGCGCAGGCGGUUAGAUAAGUCUGAAGUUAAAGGCUGUGGCUUAACCAUAGUACGCUUUGGAAACUGUUUAACUUGAGUGCAAGAGGGGAGAGUGGAAUUCCAUGUGUAGCGGUGAAAUGCGUAGAUAUAUGGAGGAACACCGGUGGCGAAGGCGACUCUCUGGUCUGUAACUGACGCUGAGGAGCGAAAGCGUGGGGAGCGAACAGGAUUAGAUACCCCUGUAGUCCCUGUCUCUUAUACA
rnacentral:rRNA from 1 species